AGGGGGCUGUCAUCCCGAGCUUUCCUAUUUGCCGGGCACCCGGAUCUUUAACAUUACCCGUGACGUCAGCGGAACGGACACUUCUCAGCUGGCCUUCCCCGCAAAUUUGGCCUUGAAUUCGAUUUUGAGGGUCACGGACUCACGGUUGUAAACAAGUUCAUUUCCUGUUUCUUGCUUGUGUUGUACGUGGUGUUGUACCUUGGUUGUACCCUCGAGUUGAUUGUUUGAAACCAUUGAAACUUAAAUUGAUUGAAUGAUUCAGGACUUGAUUCAGGAUCAGGAUGUCGUACUGUGCGGUGGCUACAUGCCGAAGUUACCGAAGGACUGGCAAGUUCUGCACAAAAUCGUUUUUCGGUUCCCGAAGGAUCCAGCCACAUGUGCGACCUGGGUGCAUAGAUGUUCGAGGCAGGAUCCUAUAAAUGUGUUGCAGGCAAGGAUUUGCUCAGACCACUUUCUUGAUUCAGAUUAUGAUCCUUCCUACCUUGUGAAAGCAUCCCUGAUGCCAGGUGUGAGCCCAUGUCUGAAGACUGAUGCGGUUCCAACACAGAAUCUGCGCAGUGCUGGGUCCUCGGGACCGGCGCAACAAAGCACUCGGGCUUCAAGGAGUGAUCGCCGACAGAUGAAGUCCCUUGCGCAGGACAUCAUCAACCCUCACCUAUCCGUGCUUCUAUCCUCAGGAUACUGAAAUCCUUCUCCUCCACGCCGCAACCCCCCUCCGGGCUGGACAGGCAACUUUAUCUCAUGCGGGCUGCUCCCUUGGAGCGGCACCGCUGCUCCCGAGGGAGCGCACCCCGUAGCCGGGUGCAGUGAGUGCCUUGGGGCUGGGUGGCCUGUCCUCUGGACGGGCUCAGCCCCGGCGACUCACUAGGGUGCCUGCCCAGACCAAUGUCUCCCCCUAAUUCCUAUCAUCCUUCCGGCUCUGCAAUGGUCUUGUCGACCGAAAGGGCCUAACCCAACAAAACAAAAAAAAACAUCAUCAACACUGAGGGAGCGUCCUCAUCUCUGAGUGAUAGAUCAAGGUAAAUCGGCAGGAAGCAGCUGAAUCAGGUGGAGAACGCACUGCGUCUGCCGGCGGCGUCCAGUGCCGACAUCUUUACCCCGGCAUCACUCGCCAGUGUGGAGAGCGCCGUCACUUUCUGUCUUCUGAGGCUGUCAGACAGUUCAGCCGGGCAGCGAGCAGCUCCCGGCGCACCAUCACUGGGAGCCAGGCCGGCCUACGCGAGGAGCGGAUCACUUGUGCUUACGACUUCGUCCUGGCGCUGGUUUAGUGAGCGGAUCCGAAGGUGGACCCGCGUCGUCACCAGCUUCCUCGCGAUCCUGGCGUCCAGAGAUGGACGCUUUACCUGGAGUGCCGCCAGCAGCCUCUGCACGAUACCGGACUGACCGUCGACGGUAGCACCCAUCAUCAACCGGAAGAUGACCUCGAACUCUUCCACGAUGGUCAUCCAGUUCGGCGAUGGCACGGUGAGCCUACCCCGGCUGAGGGCGCGGACCCAGGGCGUGAUCACGCGAGCUGCCGGCUUGGCCUCUCUGGACGCGCGCAGUGCUGACCCCUGUUGAACAGUAAUUUUGGUUCAUUCAUUUUGUGCGGAUUCGUGGUUGCGUGGUUGACAGUCGCUUUUGCUCAUUCAUCUUGUGCCGACUCGUGGUUGCGUUAACCAUUCGUGAUUGCGUUGUGCCGACUCGUGGUUGCGUUAACCAUUCGUGGUUGCGUUAACCAUUCGUGAUUGCGUUGUGCCGACUCGUGGUUGCGUUAACCAUUCGUGGUUGCGUUAACCAUUCGUGAUUGCGUUGUGCCGACCCGUGGUUGCGUUAACCAUUCGUGGUUGCGUUAACCAUUCGUGGUUGCGUUAACCAUUCGUGAUUGCGUUGUGCCGACUCGUGGUUGCGUUAACCAUUCGUGAUUGCGUUGUGCCGACUCGUGGUUGCGUUAACCAUUCGUGAUUGCGUUGUGCCGACUCGUGGUUGCGUUACCCAUCGUCUGUGUGCCCGUGUGUGCGGGGACACGGACCACAUGUGCUCCCUCACUGGAUGGAUAUUGGAUAGACAUGCGCGAGCAGUGUUGGGGUCGUUUUGUUUCCUGUCAUGGAAUACAUCUGUUGGUGGUUCUUAA
rnacentral:lncRNA from 1 species